rnacentral:lncRNA from 1 species
AUUUCAGGGCCGUCCUCCCUGCUUCAGAGGCUCAGCCAGCUAUAGUGUUUAGAAGGAACCAAGCUGAGAACCUAGGAUGAAGACAGUUCAUUUCAGAAACCAUGACUCACUCCCAGUGGAUUUCAGUAGAUAACAUGGAGAAGACUUGAACCAGAUAAAUCUAUCCUAGAAAAGUGUACGGCAUAAUAACAAAACCAAAAGAAAUUCUUGAGACAGUGCUAAAAGAAACCAUCAUGAUGGGCGGAUCCAGACCUGCCAAGCCUACGAUAAAUCAUCCACCAAGGUGAGGAAUGGACCAGCCAAGGAGGUUGAUGACAUCCCCAGGAUCAUACAGCUGGGGGUGAUGGAGCCAUGACCUGAGCCCACUCUCCCUCUAAAGCACUUACUGUCCCACUCUCUGAGUUGGCCUCGGCCUCAGCGCCAACUCUGAUAUAAUAAACCCCUAUGACCCAACCUUGUUGGUCCAGACACUGAGACGGUAGAGUUUAACAAAUUAGGAGGAAGAAAACAGUUCAGCAGUUUCUCAAAAAAUUAAACAUAGUAUAACCAUAUGAUUCAGCAAAUGCACUUGUAGGUAUACACCUAAAAGAAUUGAAAGCAGGGGCUCAAACAGAUGUUUGAGUGCACCAAUGUUCAUAGCAGGAUUAUUCACAAUAGCCACAAGUGGAAACAACCUAAGAGGCCACUGAUGGAUGAAUGUAUAAAUAAAAUGUGGUCUAUUCAUAUAAUGGAUUAUUCAGCCUUAAAAAAGAAGGAAAUUCUGGGGCCAGCCCAGUGUCAUUGUGGUUAAGUUCACCCACUCU